rnacentral:rRNA from 1 species
UGGGGAAUAUUGGACAAUGGGGGCAACCCUGAUCCAGCAAUACCGCGUGUGUGAAGAAGGCCUUCGGGUUGUAAAGCACUUUAGUUGGGGAGGAAGAUUUGUAUUUUAAGAGAUAACAAAUUUGACUGUACCCAAAGAAUAAGCACCGGCUAACUCUGUGCCAGCAGCCGCGGUAAUACAGAGGGUGCGAGCGUUAAUCGGAAUUACUGGGCGUAAAGGGCGCGUAGGCGGUUAUUUAAGUUAGAUGUGAAAUCCCUGGGCUUAACCUAGGAACUGCAUCUGAUACUGGAUAGCUAGAGUGCUGUAGAGGGUAGUGGAAUUUCCGGUGUAGCGGUGAAAUGCGUAGAUAUCGGAAGGAACACCAGUGGCGAAGGCGGCUACCUGGACAGACACUGACGCUGAGGCGCGAAAGCGUGGGGAUCAAACAGG